ensembl:lncRNA
UUCUCUCCCUCACCUGCUUCUUUCAUCAUCUAGAGAUUCAUGGGGACGGAGGAGGCCAGAAAUUCAGUACAUCUCCAGACAAUUACGACGACAUCACUGGGAUUCGCGUGUCUACAGGUGGUUGGGGUGUGAUUAAGAGGUAAGAGCUGGUCCAUGAGUUCUAUGGCUUAUCCCACUCAUGCCAAGUCUCAGGGUCGUGGGGAGGGGGCUUAGCAUCUCUUCUCCCAACCCCCCGCUGGGUCCUGAUGACUCUUUGAGGCCAGUUGGGUCCUUGGAGUCAUGGAGCCACCAGCCAUCACCUUUCCCUUUGUCCCUUUUCCUCAGCCGCCUCCUCUCCUGCACACCAGAACUAUCAGUCCAGGUUAGGUCAGAGAGGAAAGGAAGUGAGGGUCAGAGUGGACCACUGACUGAACACAAGUCACCACAAGUGUGUAGAGGCACAAAGCCCAAGGCUGCUCCCCUAAUGUUGGGGUGGUGUCCUUGCUCAAGGCCUGGGGCAGAUCUUGGCUCUGCGCUGAUGGGGUCCCGGGGACCUGUGAGAGGGAGUAGGACAGAGCAGCCAGCACCAAAGGGGACAGAGUGUGUACCGGGUGAGGUGAGGAGGGGAGGCCAUGGGAGAGUCACAAAAGUGGGGCAAGGUCACAGUGAAGGCCAGAUGGGUGGAGCUAGUGGGACUCCCAAGGUAAGUGUGGGAAGUCAUCUGCUUCUCAGAACUGUGACCUGGGCAACCUCACUCGGGCUCAGAAAGCCCAAGCUGGGCCCGAGGACAGCUCCCAGCUCUGAGCGAUGACAGAGUCACCUCCUGAGGGUCAGCAUGACUGGGCACUGAUCCAAGCUCUCCUUUCGGAUGAUCCUGAGUGUUCCAACGGUUACUUCCACUUGGCAAAUGAAGAAACUGAGGCCCAGAGAGGCUGGAUAACAAGCCCAAGAUCACAGAGCCCGAAGGUGGCAGAGCAGGGGUUUGAGCCCAGCAUGUCUGUAUCAGCACCCAGAUUCACGUGCUCAGUGACUCAUGCUGCAGUGACAGCCCUGCUCUCUGGGUUCCAUUGAGGGUUGGCUCAGCGACAGAGGUGUGGGGAGUGGUGAGUCACCUGGGUCCUAGCCAUUCAAAGCUCCCCCUUUCUCCCAGCAUCCAGCUGAGAUAUGGAUCCUCCUGGAGAGAAAGAUUUGGUCCCAAAGGUGGGAAGAUGGAGGAAUUCCUCCUGCAGCCAGGCGAACAAAUUCUAAUGGUCACCGGCUGGCACACACUUUAUCUCCGGAAGCUGGUCAUAUACACAAACCGUGGGCGCAUGGCCUCAUUUGGGAAGGAAGAGGGCAAAAAAUUCCUUGAAGUCUGCAGCUGGGAGUGGAAGGUGCUCACGGGAAUCUUUGGGACAUAUAAGCGCUAUGGCAUCACGGGCAUCGGCUUUCGGUGGGGUUAUCCUCGAGUGGAUCUGACCACUGUACAAAACAAUACCCACUGGUACCCAGAGAAGUGAGUGCUCCUGGGUCCCCAGGGAUGGGGCACAGGUCACCCUGCUGAGGCCCUCUGACUGGUGGUGGGCUGAUGGCACUGGGGUGUCUAAGUCAGGUCUUGAAUAAGAAUCCACCAAUAAAUGAAGUUCUGCGGGAACAGUGCAUCCAGGCGUGGUCCUUGGGUCUGGGGUACAACCCAAAGCUUCUGAGCGUGUAGAGGAUGAGGCUCCAGGGCUGAGCUCAGAGAUCUGAGCCGUGGGUGAGGCAGGAGGUGGGUCUGACACCUCAGGCCUCCAGGAUUCCACCGAGGAUGCAGGACCUGCCCGUGCAGAUCCUGGGCUGAUCUCAGUCUUUGAGGAUUCCAGGGUCAGGGAUGUCCUGCCCCAAACUCCUCACUCCAAGCCCAUCCAGCUGGCCUCUGCUGGCCCAGGUUCAGGUCCCAUCUCAGGUUCCUUCAAGUAUACAUGUGACCUGGUAUACCCCAUCGGCAGUGCUUGCAACCUUGUCAUAUCAAUUACACUUCAGUUGUUCCAGACACCCUGAAAUCUACACUCAUCACUCCUUCAAAAUUGUGAGUAUUUUAAGACCUGCCUGUUCACGAGCCGAUAACAAGAACACAGGUGUUUGGAGAGCGCGGGCAGGUAGAAACACUUGACCAGCCAUCUGAGGCUGCUUUGCAGGGGGCUCCUUUCUCCCUGUGUGGGGCUGAAGCCACGGGUGGGCAGGGGCCUCUCAUCCCAGCUUGGCAGCUGCUCUGGGAAGCCCAGGGCCAGGUCUGGUGCAUAAUUCCUUUCCUGCCCCUGGCCUCCUAAAAGGGAAUCUGUUUUAAGCACUAGUGAUUCUUGACCCCCUUCUCAGGCGCCCACCUCUCUUGGGGCUGGCAGCUGCCAGGGGCGACCCUGCCUCCCGAUGCCUCCUGGGGUGGAAACAAGCAGGGUCAGAAAUGGGACAACGUUGACUUGAAGAGUGACAGCAUGAUCCCCACAGCAGUCACUGCCUUGUCAGUGGAUCAGAUAGGAUGAGAGGAGGGGGAGGGGGUAGGAGGGAAAAAGGAAGGGGAGGAGGAGGAGGAGCAUGGCUCCAGCUCAGGCGCUCUUGUGCAGACUAACGGCAAAGCAGUCUGUCGCCCAGCGGAUCCUUCCUUGUGACACAGUUCUCGGGACUUCCUUCAUGGCUUCCACGCAAACCCUGAGGGCAUCCUCCCUAUGGAGCCCUGCUGGGGACCCUGGAAACAGGCGGUGGUGGAGACGCUGCACCUGUUCUCUGUACCCCGGGACUGUCGAUGCAAUCCUCGCCUAGUGCACUCCAAGGGCCAGAACUGUUACGGGGGCGGGGGAGCGGGGCAUAGGGGAGCUGGUGCGCCCGGC